GGGACUAGAACUCUCUUCAGCCUCUCUGACCUGACUAAGAUUGAAAUCUUCAAUGAGGAUUGGCUUGUAAACUGUAAGCACUUGCCAUUGAAAUAAAAAUAGGCGUGAUUUUAUCCGAGGCGUUCUGGGGCUUUCCAAGACGCAGCUUUUAGAGGAUGCUCCUGCUGAUAAAUGCUUUUAAAAUAUCUUGGAAAAGACAGCUUUUUGCAAGGCAACGUGGUCACUUGCUUUAGGGACGAGGACGCCUAGGACAGGCCCCUCCUUCGGGUGCCCCUUUCGAUGCGCAAAGUCGUGCCUUACGUAUUGGAAACUUCGAGGCCGCCGUACUGCGAGGAGCCGUGCUGUUCUGCGCUAGCGCGCACGAAGGCUGCUGCGGGUCGGUUUGCAUCCUGAUAAAAACACCGUCAGCCAUUCACAGCGUAGGGAAUACUGCAUUUUCUUUAACUCGAUUUAAAGGCCACAAUUAGCUCUUGAAUUCCAGAGAAAAAAGUGCCACAUAGAUCCCCUGUGACAAAUGUCGGUUACAAUACGCCUGUGUCCCGGCCGUAAGCCGUGCCUGCCUGGCAGUGCGAGUCAGUAAUUCCUCUUCCAUAGCCGUCUUCUUCCACGUUCCCCUCGUUGCCACCAUUUGCUCUGCUCUUUGAAGGUCACAGUUCAUGACAAAGGUGGUGCUGUGGUGCCUGGUUGCUUAUGGUUACACGAAGGGAACCGUAAUCCUUAGAUUUCAGUGUACGGCUCCUUAUGCCACGGUCAGACAAUAUUUUCCCACUUGUUUUUUUUUUAAAGCAAUGUAAUGUCAAAUGGAGGUGUUUGAUUUGCAGUGUGAAACGCGUCGUGCGGGCUGGAAAUAGGAAGGCCGGGUCAGAAGCUGCCAGCCCGGUGACGGCUAGAAACAAAGUACUGAAACAAAGUAGCUCGUACGUUGUGAGCUACGGAAAUUGUGUCACUGAAGUGCAAGUUGCACCCAUAAAAGGGAAAAUGUGUCCACUCUGUUCUAGAUGUAGGAAAGCAUUCCGUUUGGCCUAUUACGCUUAGGGUGUUUAAAAGGUGUGUAUGCAGAUAAUAUUAUUCCUGUCCAAAUGAAGCUGCAACGGUUCUGACUGCAAUGUUGCCAAUGCAACGUGUGUUCAGGGACACUUCAAUGUUUGCUCUGAUCCUUAGCUGACCGGGCUUACGGUGCUCUUUCAGCAGCGAUCAGCUUGUUGAAAGUAGUGUCCUUAAUGGUUUGGGGGUUUUUUUUGUUUUUUUUGUUUUUUUUUAAACAAGGAGCAACCUGAAAUUUAUAAGUGUAGCACUAUAAAUGAAGCAUUUAUUUUCCACUCACGUCCUGAAUGCUUUUCCUCCAAAGGGUCCCUCUUAACUGGAAUGUUAGUAUCUGAACUUGUGUGUUAGUAAGCACGUCAGCCAACACUCUUUUGUUGUCGUUGUCUUUUGUGUUUGAAUUGGUGUGAGCGCAGCAGAUCGCACAGAAUGAAGCGUUCCGACGCCAGGCUGGGGUCUGAGGUAAGGCAGCCCUGUAGAUACAGCGCCCAUGUGAAAGGGACGUCGGACAUCUGCAGAUCUGUUGCGCUCUGAGGCGUUGGCAACCUGUACAUCAGGGUUCUCACGCCGUUCAGGUGGCGUGGAAACAAACGAUGCUUUCAGUAUGUAACCUUGUCUUGAGCACACAGCAUGUUUUAAUGGUUCUGCCUUGAAGAUAAUGUGAGCAUUCGGGCUUCGGUGCGCUUCCCGGCUGUCAGUCGUAGCGUUCUACCCGCAGAAUCGAUGUGAACAGCACCGAACGCUUUGUAUGCGUAUUUUCACCUUCCCCGACCGUAACGUUGCAUUGUUUUGUAUGUGUCGGGGAAGGGUAAGACACAGUGCCAGAAACUUAACAACUGGCUUUGCCGCAGGCUAUUUUCACUUGUUUUCAGUAAAACGGUGAUAACGUUUCUCUUAUUAAAAUCCAUAAUAAACUGUGAUAAAGGGAGGAAAA